rnacentral:rRNA from 1 species
ACUGCAGUCGCACGCGAAAGUAUUCUUCGGAAAACGAGUAGAGUGGCGAAAGGGUGAGGAAUACAUGGAUAACGUACCUCUGGCACAGGGACAGCCCCGAGAAAUCGGGGAUAAUACCUGAUGAGACCACGGUGACGCAGGUCGCUGCGGUCAAAGGGCGGGGAUCCCUUCGGGGACCUGUCGGCCGGAGAGCGGUCCAUGUCCUAUCAGCUUGUUGGUGAGGUAACGGCUCACCAAGGCAUUGACGGGUAGCGGGACUGAGAGGUUGGCCCGCCACAUUGGGACUGAGACACUGCCCAGACUCCUACGGGAGGCUGCAGUAACGAAUAUUCCGCAAUGGGCGAAAGCCUGACGGAGCGACGCCGCGUGUGGGAAGAAGCCCUUCGGGGUGUAAACCACCGUCAGGGGUUAGCAAGCGAUGGGGGCUAAUAUCCCCCGGAGUUGAGCAGCCCCAGAGGAAGCCACGGCUAACUUCGUGCCAGCAGCCGCGGUAAGACGAAGGUGGCUAGCGUUGUUCGGAAUCACUGGGCUUAAAGGGCACGCAGGCUGCUCGUCAAGUGUCUUGUGAAAUCCCCCGGCUCAACCGGGGAACUGUUGGGCAAACUGACGGGCUUGAGGCAGGUAGGGGCGCAUGGAACUCUUGGUGGAGCGGUGGAAUGCGUAGAUAUCAAGAGGAACGCCGGUGGCGAAAGCGAUGCGCUGGGCCUGUCCUGACGCUGAGGUGCGAAAGCCAGGGGAGCAAACGGGAUUAGAUACCCCGGUAGUCCUGGCCCUAAACGAUGUCCACUAGGUCGAAGGUUCUCUGACGGAGUUUCGGCCGAAACAAAAGCGUUAAGUGGACCGCCUGGGGAGUACGGUCGCAAGGCUAAAACUCAAAGGAAUUGACGGGGGCUCACACAAGCGGUGGAGCAUGUUGCUUAAUUCGAUGCAACGCGAAGAACCUUAUCCUGGGCUUGACAUGCUUGGAUGCCUCCCUGGAAACAGGAUCAGGCUGCCCUUCGGGGUGAAACUUGCACAGGUGCUGCAUGGCUGUCGUCAGCUCGUGUCGUGAGAUGUGGGUUAAGUCCCGUAACGAGCGAAACCCUGUCGCUAGUGUCAGCGGGUAUGCCGGGGACUCUAGCGGAGAACUGCCCGGUGUUAACCCGAGGAAGGUGGGGGAAUGACGUCC